CGGGAUUAGUGGCGAACGGGUGAGUAACAUAUCGGAACGUACCCAGUAAUGGGGGAUAACUAGUCGAAAGACUGGCUAAUACCGCAUACGCCCUGAGGGGGAAAGCGGGGGAUCGAAAGACCUCGUGUUAUUGGAGCGGCCGAUAUCUGAUUAGCUAGUUGGUGGGGUAAAGGCCUACCAAGGCGACGAUCAGUAGCUGGUCUGAGAGGACGACCAGCCACACUGGAACUGAGACACGGUCCAG
rnacentral:rRNA from 1 species